GGGCGAAUGGUUUAGUGGUAUAAUACUCCCUUAGCAUGUUCUAUCCUCUGGAAGAUACACCUCUGGGAGUGGUCCAGGGUUCGAUUCCCUGUUCGUCCA
rfam:Fusarium oxysporum f. sp. cubense tropical race 4 54006 unplaced genomic scaffold supercont1.9, whole genome shotgun sequence.